rnacentral:rRNA from 1 species
AGUGAACGCUGGCGGUAGGCCUAACACAUGCAAGUCGAACGGCAGCACAGGAGAGCUUGCUCUCUGGGUGGCGAGUGGCGGACGGGUGAGGAAUACAUCGGAAUCUACUCUGUCGUGGGGGAUAACGUAGGGAAACUUACGCUAAUACCGCAUACGACCUACGGGUGAAAGCAGGGGACCUUCGGGCCUUGCGCGAUUGAAUGAGCCGAUGUCGGAUUAGCUAGUUGGCGGGGUAAAGGCCCACCAAGGCGACGAUCCGUAGCUGGUCUGAGAGGAUGAUCAGCCACACGGGAACUGAGACACGGUCCAGACUCCUACGGGAGGCAGCAGUUGGGAAUAUUGGACAAUGGGCGCAAGCCUGAUCCAGCCAUACCGCGUGGGUGAAGAAGGCCUUCGGGUUGUAAAGCCCUUUUGUUGGGAAAGAAAUCCAGCUGGCUAAUACCCGGUUGGGAUGACGGUACCCAAAGAAUAAGCACCGGCUAACUUCGUGCCAGCAGCCGCCGUAA